rnacentral:tRNA from 1 species
UCGCGGGGAGGGUGUUGGCUCCCAAUCUGAGCUCAUAACCCGGCCCACGUCGGUUCGAUUCCGACCCCCGCAAUC